UUUCUUUCAAAAAUAGUACACUUCAUCACGGCAGCAACCCGGUACAGCAGCAGCCACGGUGAGGGGGUAUGGAGGGUGUGUAACAUGGUUGGCUACGGAAAUAAAUAACGGGACCGGGACGAAGGAUUUUCAACCAAAGAAAAGCUGAAAAAAAAAAAAAAAAAAAAAACCACGGUGAAAAGAAGGAAGCGGAUACGUCAAGAGAGAAGACACUUUGUUACAGUGCCACACGUUUCAGUGUUGAUGUCGGUAUUUGGACACGAAUACCUGCCGAAAAUAGUCCCGACGUCCAUUGUUGAAGCUCCUCUGUCCUGUGUGACCCCCUGACACAGAGAGGAUGGUGAUGGAGGAGGGGGGUCAGAGAGACAGAGGGAGGGGAACUCCAGCGACAGCAGAAGAAGGGAGACAAAUCUUCAAAGAACUUGGGGAUCAGAACUUGGAUACCAUUUGUCUCUCUACCUAUCGAACAGCCUGCAAGCUCAGAUUCAUACAGAAGAGAUGCAACUUGCACCUGAUCGACAUAUACAAUGUGAUCGAGGCGGUGCGAGACACUGGUCUGAACGCAGUGGAGCUCCAUGCUGGCAUCUCUGUGGUCAGACUGGAGAACCUGGUGUCCUCCCUGUUCAACCAGCUCAGCAAGCGCCUGCCCACCACACAUACCAUCAACGCUCGAGAAAGCACCGUCCUGUUAGUGGAAUUCUUACUGGCUGCCAUUGACAGUGAGCCAGAGAGCCGUCUGACAGUGCUCUCUGUGAAGGCGAUGCUGUCCACACUAUGUGGAGGAAAGCUGAUUGAUAAACUCCGCUAUGUUUUUUCUCAGGUAUCAGACUCCAGUGGUGUUUUGGUACAGUCCAAGUUUGACGGAUUUCUGAGAGAGGCUCUCAAGCUGCCUACAGCUGUACAUGAAGGACCGUCCUUUGGCUACGCACACACUUUAGCCCGCUCAUGCUUCCCUCAACAGAAGAGGGUGAUGCUCAACAUGUUCCUGGACGUCAUCGCUGACCCUCCUCAGUGUCUUGUCUGGCUGCCUCUCAUGCACCGCAUGGCCAACGUGGAGCAUGUCCGUCAUCCGGUCACGUGCUCCUAUUGUCGCGGCAAUGGCAUGACUGGCUUCCGUUAUCGCUGCCUACGUUGCCGUGGUUACCAGCUCUGUCAGGACUGCUUUUGGCGCGGCAAUGCCAGCGGCUCUCACAGCAGUCAGCAUCAGAUGAAGGAGCACUCCUCCUGGAAGUCACCAGCGACAAAGCUUGGCCGAGCCCUGAGCAGGACUCUGGGCUGUGUGUCGUCCAGAGAGCCCCCUCACCCCAUUUACCCCGAGGAGCCCGAAAGGACCCUCAACCUUGCCAACAUAGUCCCCACUCGUCCCGUUAAAAACACCAGUGAGGCCAUGUUGCUGUCCUCAUCGGCACCUGAGUCCUCCAAAAGUUUGGCAGCUGCUCAGCGUAUGAAUGAGGAACACGCUCUGAUAGCUGCAUAUGUGAAUCGUCUUCAAAGCAGCCCAAGUAGUGUGGACAGUCCCAGCCGGCAGGAUGAGGAGCACAAACUGAUCGCCCGCUACACCUCCCGACUGGCAGAGACAGACAGCUCUGGAGUGAUACCUAACAGAAGCAUCAACUUCGAUGUGAACAAACAGAAGAGGGAGCUCAUCGCUCAGCUGGAGUGCAAAAACAGAGAGAUUCUGGCAGAGAUCAAAUGUCUCCGUGCACAGCAUGACGCAGCAUGCCAGGCCAGCCCAGAGAAGGGCACCACCAACCCGACUCUGCUCGCCGAGCUCCGUCUGCUCAGACAAAGGAAAGAUGAGCUGGAGCAGAGGAUGUCGUCUCUGCAAGAAAGCAGGAGGGAGCUGAUGGUACAACUGGAGGGACUGAUGAAGCUGCUCAAGGAUGAGGAACAGCGACAGGCAGCACAGGCAGCUGGCUCUUCUCACGCCUCUCCUUCCAGACCGAGCCCGUCAACCGUCCGCUCUGUAGGUGCUGCCUCUCCCCAGGUUCACAUGUACCCUCCUCAAGACUCCCUCGCUGGGGUGGGGGGCGACGUACAAGAAGCAUUCGCUCAAGGCCCCAGAAGGAACCUGAGGAACGACCUUCUGGUAGCAGCCGACUCCAUCACCAACACUGUGUCCUCCCUGGUCAAAGAGCUACACUCUGAUGAUGUUCGUGAGGAAGAGGAGAGACUGCUGAAUGGGAAGGACAGAGAGAAACCUCAGUAAAACCUCAGCAUGGCUGUGCACAACUCCAACAUCUGUGUGUGUGUCAGGCUAAAAUGAUCGCAGGACAAACAAGAACGGUGAACGGCAGAGUGAAGUUUCAUCACGGAGAGAGGAGACUGACCCUGCUGUGAUGAAAUGACAGCUUAUGCAUAGUUAGCCAAUGGGGAUUAGAGCUCCCCUGCCAAUCAACCAAUCACGAUGCUGGACACCAAAUGACCGCGGGGUCCCUACUGAUGUAAAGCUGUUGAUUCUGUGUGUGUCGUGUCACUGUACUUUUGAUUUGAUCACCGUAGCUAAACAGGGAAAUCUGAAACCUACUGAUUUGUACUGUAGCAUGUGAGUGUGUUUUGUGUGCGCUCUGCAUUUUCAAAGUUCCAGUAGGUGGGAGGGAUGUUGUGAAGAGACAGAAAGAUGCAUUUAGGAAGCGUGUGAAGUAAAAGGAGCGGGAAAGUUUCAGAGGGAUACGGGAUGUUGCCGGAUUGAAAAGAAAAGUGAGGAACGAACGAAGGAGAGUCAAAAGGACGAUAAGUGAGUUUUAACGUUUUAAGUUUCGGCACUGUGUGCUUCGUAUUUAUUGCUUUGAUUUGACUUUGGCUGUUUAUUCUUUUUGGUUUAAAUGUUUAUGUGAGUGUGGUCGGGCCCUGCUGAGAUGAUAAGCUUUAAUGGGACGUUUCCUGGCUCCUCACUCUGGCUGCAGCGAUGCAGGGUGGAGAGUUGAAGUCCCAGUCGUGCUCCAUGUUUCUGAAACCUGGAUGAGAUUAGAUUAGCUCAUUGGUGCUGUUAUGAUCACAGCUCAGGUUGUCCAGGCUUUUCUGUGUAUCUUGGUACUGCAGCGGGACUCCCGUCAGAGAAGUUAUUUGAUUACUUUGUGUGUGUGUGUGUGUGUGUGUGUGUGUGUGUGUGUGUGUGUGUGUGUGUGUGUGUGUGUGUGUGUGUUUGUAAGAGAGAGAGAGAGAGAGAAUAUAAAACAAUUGGCUUCAAACAGGGUCAUUGUAGCACAGUAGAUGGAGAAAUUGGCUCCAAAAGUAUUUAUUGACAUUUUUUAAUGGUCAGUUUACCAAAAAUGUCCCAACCCGAGUCUCCCAAGAUAAAACAUUAGAAAUUUUUUAAAAAAGCAAAAACAUUUGUUUCCCAAAAAGGUUUUUAUUUUCUUCUGAAUUCACUCCAUUUGAACCCUUUUGUUAUCAGCGUUUUUUUUUAAACUUUCACAUCUUCAGGACUCAAAAACGUAAAUGUUAGAUUGAGUUUAAAGAGAAAAACAAGCAUGUUAAGAACAACAAAAGAAGAAACUUCAAAACCCUGCAAAGAGCAAGCUCAACUUUUAGUAGGCAGGUUGGGCUUCAGUUCAGUGUUAACACAGUAAUCCUAAAAAAACAAAAACAAGAUUAAUGAUCGAGAGUACCAAAGAUAGAAAACAAUCUACAACACAAAAGUGUACAAACAAGUCCAGAUUCAGAUUUCUUUUGCCUUUUUUCCAUCCUGACAUGCAGAUCAGGGCUAAUCGUAGCAAAACUGUAUCAGAGCGAUGACAUCACAGAUAAGGGCCACAGCUUUAGUUCACAGUGAAUGAGCUUCAUUUAAAAAUCACUGAUCUGCCACUGAUAAAAUACUGUAGUGCUCACAGUUUACAGUAUAGAUUCAAAAUGUUAAACUUCUUUGAAAGCAAAAUCUCUCUCCUAUGAUCACCAUGUUAAUUAAAGAAACAGUCGCUGUGUUUUUAUUAGAACGUUACAGUGGUAAAAUAAUAACCCUCAUUAAUCAAGGCAUCGUUGAAGCUCUGCCCACUAAGGAUUGUGGCUUUAAAGUUUUGUGCCCUACCUGUAUGAGUUGGUCUGACGUAUGGAAAAGAGCCAGAAAAGAAAAAUCAAACUUCUUGGUUGUGUUCACACUGAAGCAGAAUUGGAAGCUUUGUGACUGAAUGUUUUUCUGACUGAUUCUUUUGGAGUCGUCAUUUGACCUUUUAUGAUUACAAGUUUUGAGCAAAGGAAAUUCAACCAAAGUGUUUAGUUUUCAUUUUCAUUAAAUAACGCUAUCCUUGCAGGAAAAUAAAAGAAUAGUUUUUAGUUGUUUCUAAACACUGCCUGCACCGUAUCACUCCUCACACUCUGCUGAUCUUUGAUGCCUUAAAAAGCUUUCUGUGAAUGUCGACCACACGUAGCAUCCCGAAACGCCUUCAGGCUGAUGCUCUGUAUGCAAAUCAAACAUGACCCAAAGUGACUAUCUGAGCCUUUGUCAGGACAGGUUGAUAUAUUUUCAUAUAACAGGCGUGAGAUAAUUAAAUUCAAAUAAGGUUUUUUUUAUUUCUGAGUUUUGUUUGGUUCUUAUCAGAAGCUGUACUUUAUUGUUUUGUCCAUUUGGAUCAGUUGGACAUAAUUGUUUUUUCAUCUCUAAAGACUCCACCAGCCCUUCACAUGAUUUGACUGCUUAUGACAUUAAACGUUGGCGUAUGAUUGACAGGCUGUGUGAGUGAUUUCAGAAAUGACUGAGCUCGUGUUUGGGUGUGUUUGCGUGAAAGAAAGAGAGAGUGAGGGAAAAAAAAAAAAAAAUCAAGACUGACAGGACAGACGUGUCCGAACAUGAAGCUGUUAACAACUUCAGCUCUGAAUCUGACAGAGCUGACUGAGUGAAAAGUGUUGAUGUAUCUGUGUUUCAUCUGCAAUAAAUAAUAUUUAACGUCAA